rnacentral:rRNA from 1 species
CACAUGCAGUCGAACGGUGAACACGGAGCUUGCUCUGUGGGAUCAGUGGCGAACGGGUGAGUAACACGUGAGCAACCUGCCCCUGACUCUGGGAUAAGCGCUGGAAACGGCGUCUAAUACUGGAUAUGUGACGUGACCGCAUGGUCUGCGUCUGGAAAGAAUUUCGGUUGGGGAUGGGCUCGCGGCCUAUCAGCUUGUUGGUGAGGUAAUGGCUCACCAAGGCGUCGACGGGUAGCCGGCCUGAGAGGGUGACCGGCCACACUGGGACUGAGACACGGCCCAGACUCCUACGGGAGGCAGCAGUGGGGAAUAUUGCACAAUGGGCGCAAGCCUGAUGCAGCAACGCCGCGUGAGGGAUGACGGCCUUCGGGUUGUAAACCUCUUUUAGCAGGGAAGAAGCGAAAGUGACGGUACCUGCAGAAAAAGCGCCGGCUAACUACGUGCCAGCAGCCGCGGUAAUACGUAGGGCGCAAGCGUUAUCCGGAAUUAUUGGGCGUAAAGAGCUCGUAGGCGGUUUGUCGCGUCUGCUGUGAAAUCCGGAGGCUCAACCUCCGGCCUGCAGUGGGUACGGGCAGACUAGAGUGCGGUAGGGGAGAUUGGAAUUCCUGGUGUAGCGGUGGAAUGCGCAGAUAUCAGGAGGAACACCGAUGGCGAAGGCAGAUCUCUGGGCCGUAACUGACGCUGAGGAGCGAAAGGGUGGGG